AACUCAUCUAAAAAAAAAAUGUCAAUAUGUAGCAUAUUCCCAAAAAAAGUUUUUGUUUUUUUUUAAAACGUCAGGAACCGAAGACAACCCAAAUGCCCAGAAACCAGCAGGGGGGCGUCGUGGAUCCCCUACGGCGCACUGACAAAGACGGAGCGGCAGACUUCUGCUGACUGUCAUUUCUCAGCCUGUGGAGAGGAGCGGUGUCAUGUCAACCUAAGAAGAGCAGGCCACCUCAUCGGAUCAUCCCACACUCUUAAAGGUCCUGGCCUCAGCAACCUUCACUCCUUCCCUCUUGUGUGUGUCACUUCACUUCUCGCUGAUUAAUCUUCCAGUCCUGCGCGCAUUACGGCUGACUAACGGAUGAUGGGUGUCAAAACAAGUCAGCCAACUGUUAUCCAUCUAUUUUGCUCAUUUUGUUUGGGAGAUCAUCGUGGAGUUCGCAUGGGAUCUCCCGCUCCAAGAUUAAUGAGGAACCCUGCAGGAACGGAAAUGUUUUUGAGCUUCAAGGGGACAUGUCAGAGAAAAUGGAGAUUGGCUGAUAUUGCUUCUCAUGACUGAUACUGAUACAGAUUCUUUUUUUGGGGGUUUUCAUUUUUUCAUUUUAAUUUAAUUUUCAUAUAAUAUAAUACGAAAUAAAAUAAAAUAUUUAACUGAUAAAUAAAUAUGCCCAACUUUUGCAUUUUUAAAAAAAUGUUGAUCAUUUAAAAUGACUAUAAAAUGCAACCUGGGUUUCAAAAUAAUUCUACAAUAAUAGUAUACGGGUGAUGAACGAAAUAUUAUUGUUAACAUUAUUAUUCUUCAGUCUACUUUUUAGCAGGUAAAAGGCAUGCUCCACAGGGUUUAAGUCUGGAGAUUGGUCGGUCUAAAACCUUCUGCUUCUUGCGAACUCUUUUGUUGUUUUGACUGUGUUUUGGGUCAUUAUCUUGCUGCAUGAUGAAGGGUCUCCCAAUAAGUUUGGUUGCAUCUUUCUUUAAAUUGGCUUACAAAAUGCUUCUGUAGACCUCUGAGUUCAUUUUGCUGCAAUCAAAGGUUAAUGAGCCCGUCCUAGAAGAAGCCACGACAUUACCUCCACUGUGUUUCACAGAUGAACUUGCACGAUUGGGAUCACGAGCAGAUCCUUUCUUUCCCCAAACCUCAGCUUUUCUGUCACUUUGGUAAAGGUUAAUCUUUGUCUCAUCGUUCCAUAAAACUUGGUCUCAUAGUCUUUGAGGCUCAUCUCUGUACUUUUUAGCAAAUUCCAGCCUGGCCUUUCUAUUCUUUUUGCCAGUGAGCGGUUUGCAUCUUCUGGUGUAACCUCUUUACUUGUGAAGUUUUCUGCGAUCAGUAGACCCCUGCCCUGGAGAUUGUUGCUGAUAACUUACAGUUGUUUUAAAGUCUUUCCUGACAGCUCUUACAAUGCUUCUGUCAUCAACCGCAGUUUUUUUCCUUGGUCUACCUGCUCGAUGUCUGUUACUUAGUACACCAGCGGCUUCUUUUUUCUUCAAGACAUUCCGAAUGGUUGAAAUGGCUAUGGCUAAUGUGUGUGCAAUGGCUCUGAUUCAUUCUCUCUCAGCUUCACAGUUGCUUGUUUUUCACUCAUAGACAGCUCUCUGGUCUUCAUGUCGGUUACACGUCUUAACUACAAAUGCAGCUUGAACAGGCAAAACCCAAACGUGAGACUGAGCUUGAACAUUCAGUGCUAAUUAUUGUUUGAAUAAUCAUUGUGAUUGGACACACCUGGGCAACGAAGUACACCUGUCAGUCACAUGCUCCAAUACUUUUGCUCGCAUGAAAAAUCGGUGUGUUCAAACAAAGCAUGCUAUCUUCUAAAUUGUGUGUCAGAUCUUUUUUUGGCCUCACUGUCCCAAUACUUUUGGGGGGAGCGAGUGUGUAUGUGUACACACACACACACACACACACACACACAAUACAGCACGGCUAUGAUCGCUUCACCCAACAGUUCUGUCUAUCACUGAGCAGCACUCUUGGCAACCACCGUUAGCAACAUAAACAAUCAAUGAUACAGCAUAAAACUGUUCUGUGUAUUAUGCAUUUCGGCAAAAUUAAAUGCGUUAUUUAUUUAAUGAAGUAGGAGUGACCUCUGCUGGCCUUAUGUUACAUAUUUGAUCUUUAAUUUUGAGACCACGCCCUUCCCAGUCUAAUAAACGUUUCUCAUGCGGAGAUGAUCCAGCAGUUUUUUCAGCGUGAUGAAGAAUAUUACUGUAUUUACUAGUUUUCUGUUUCGAGUAUGAUCAAUUAUCCAUCAGUUUACACUGAAAUGAGACUCAGAGUUUUUAAACUGAAAGACGGAAAACAGAUGUUUUCACAUGAAGAGAUGAGUGAGAGAAAAUAUUAUAUAUGGUGUUAAAAAAUAAAUUAUGCAGUGGAUGAUAAGCUAUUUUCUGUCAGUGGACUAUUUUUUUGUUUUAGCGGAAAGACUGCAUUUAACAAAUUUUUGUACUAUUACUGUAUAUAUAUAUAUAUAUAUAUAUAUAUAUAUAUAUAUAUAUAUAUAUAUAUAUAUAUAU